GACAAUCCUCAGUGGCAGGCAAGAAAGAGGAAUGACAGCAUCACCUUCAUAGAGGACCCUGGACAUGGUGUUCUGGCUAUUAAAUCAGACCUGCACCACGGGCACUGCCCUGUGCCUGGAAAGGUGAGAAAAUGCCUCCAACCUUCAGCCAACUUUUCUUCCUCAAAAAGUAGAGCCUUCUACAGAGGCAAAAAUGGUAGUUGAAAUUGUGAACAGUGAGGGUCCGCACAGCACUUUUUUAGAAAUUUGAGGGUAAACUGUUGCUUGAAAUGAUCCAACUUUUCAAAGAGGUAAAGUUAUUUAGUAGAGAGGCUUUUAAGUUGCCCUGAAAAGCUGUUUUGCUACCAUGUGGGAUGUAAAGUUGGAUGGAGUUAGAGGUGAGUGCAGGCAAUUCAACGCAUUGGUAGGGGUGGAAUUCCUCAGCAGAAAUCACCAUCUGGGUUUUGCUCCCAUCUCAACCUAGUUCAGGUCUAGAGUGAUUAAGUUGGAGACUUCUGAGGAGAGAGAAAUGAACUAAAGAUAAAUAAAACUGAUUUAAUUUUAGCUAUAGCAGAACAGAACAAAGAAGCAACCACAUUUCAUCUAACAUCAAGCACCUACUAAAGGAUGCAUUCUGCAGGCCAACUGUGUCCGCAUCCAAACCAAAGUCACUGUGGUUGCUCUUUUGCUUUAAUAGAGUUUAGAAACAAGACGUUUCUAAAUAAGCCAAGAUAACACAAUAAGGACCAAGUUUUAAUCCCACAUAUACAAAAAGAUUAAAGUGAGUUUUCCUGAAUUGCUUAUGUUAUGAACAGAAGGUUACCUUGUCAUAAUUUGGCCUUCGGCUUGAAAUUCUGACUCUUUUAGGCCACCAGUUAUGACACUGACUUAGUAAUAGCUUUGGACUUUGAAAUUGAGUGAGGGUCAUAUAGCGUCAGCAGUUUUCUUGUAGCCUGUGAUUGCACUGAGAUAUAAUUUUUAAAGACGUGGCCUUUGGACCUCUGUCUACUAGUUAAUCUCUCCCAUCUACCAUUCAAAUGUGCUAUAUACAACUAUCAUAUCAACUUCUUAGCAAGCACUUUUCUGGUCCUCCAUCACACCCAGCGAGAUGUCUAGUUAUGCCUUUCAUUUGAGAGUUUCCCCUUUUUUUUUUUUUGAGAUGGAGUCUCACUCUGUUGCCCAGGCUGGAGUGCAGUGGUGUGAUCUCAGCUCACUGCAACCUCCCCCUCCUGGGUUAAAGUGAUUUUCCUGCCUCAGCCUCCUUAGUAGCUGGGAUUACAGGCGCAUGCCACUACACCUAGCUAAUUUUUGUAUUAGUAGAGAUGAGGUUUCACCAUGUUGGCCAGGCUGGUCUCAAACACCUGACCUCAAGUUAAUCCACCCACCUUGGCUUCCCAAAGUGCUGGGUAUUACAGGCAUGAGCCACCAUGCCCAGCCUCCCUUUGCAUAUCUUUUAAAAAGGUAUUAAGCAUCUUGCACAUGUUCUUUGGUUUCAGUUUGCAUGAGUCAACCUGUCUGCAUCAUUUUCCCUUUCACUAUUUCUUGUCUUUGAUGGUACAAUUUUAAAGCUUCAAUUUUUUUUUAAAAAAAGUCUUUUUUGUUGUUGUUUCUAUCUUCCGUUUCCUUCUUUAGACUGUCUAGGAACAUUUUAAGGUACUCAUGCUCUUCAAAAUCUUACACAAUCAAGAUCCAAACUCCAUCACCAUUCGUGUCUUAGCUUGUGAAUUUCUUUCUUUUUAAAUAAAGUUGUUCAACAAAUAUGAGCAUGUGCAACGAGCUGUUUUGGCUUUGUAUUCCCCAAGUUCUCAUAUAAAUUGGCUUUAUAUUUA
ensembl:lncRNA